UUACGGGAGGCAGCAGUGGGGAAUUUUGCGCAAUGGGGGAAACCCUGACGCAGCAACGCCGCGUGAGUGAUGAAGGCCCUUGGGUCGUAAAGCUCUGACAGAGGGAAAGAAAUGUAGAGGGGCUAAUAUCCCCAUUACUUGACGGUACCCUCAAAGGAAGCACCGGCUAACUCCGUGCCAGCAGCCGCGGUAAUACGGGGGGUGCAAGCGUUGUUCGGAUUUAUUGGGCGUAAAGCGCGUGUAGGCGGUUUUAUAAGUCUGAUGUGAAAGCCCUGGGCUCAACCCGGGAAGUGCAUUGGAUACUGUAAGACUUGAAUACGGGAGAGGGCAGUGGAAUUCCUAGUGUAGGAGUGAAAUCCGUAGAUAUUAGGAGGAACACCGGUGGCGAAGGCGGCUGCCUGGACCGAUAUUGACGCUGAGACGCGAAAGCGUGGGUAGCAAACAGGAUUAGAUACCCCGGU
rnacentral:rRNA from 1 species